rnacentral:rRNA from 1 species
UUGAUUAUGACGUACUUGUACUGAUUGAGAUUUUAACACGAAGUGAGUGGCGAACGGGUGAGUAACACGUGGGUAACCUGCCCAGAAGUAGGGGAUAACACCUGGAAACAGAUGCUAAUACCGUAUAACAGAGAAAACCGCAUGGUUUUCUUUUAAAAGAUGGCUCUGCUAUCACUUCUGGAUGGACCCGCGGCGUAUUAGCUAGUUGGUGAGGUAAAGGCUCACCAAGGCAGUGAUACGUAGCCGACCUGAGAGGGUAAUCGGCCACAUUGGGACUGAGACACGGCCCAGACUCCUACGGGAGGCAGCAGUAGGGAAUCUUCCACAAUGGACGCAAGUCUGAUGGAGCAACGCCGCGUGAGUGAAGAAGGGUUUCGGCUCGUAAAGCUCUGUUGUUAAAGAAGAACGUGGGUAAGAGUAACUGUUUACCCAGUGACGGUAUUUAACCAGAAAGCCACGGCUAACUACGUGCCAGCAGCCGCGGUAAUACGUAGGUGGCAAGCGUUAUCCGGAUUUAUUGGGCGUAAAGCGAGCGCAGGCGGUCUUUUAAGUCUAAUGUGAAAGCCUUCGGCUCAACCGAAGAAGUGCAUUGGAAACUGGGAGACUUGAGUGCAGAAGAGGACAGUGGAACUCCAUGGGUAAACCG